UUAUUGGCGUGCUCGUGAGCGCAUGCCAAAAGCCCGCUCAACCUGUCACGUCAAGUUAUCGAGGCCGUCCAAAAUUCAUCGCCGCCUCGGUUUGUGGUCAUCGACGGCAUGGCGUGCAGCAACCGCUUGAUAACGGUUGCGGGAAACGAUCCCCAGAGGCUCCCUUGACUUCUGACUGCAGCGGAGAACGCGUAUUGGACGCACACUCGAGUCGCCGCAGCGCUCGCUUCGAGUGCAGCGCGCGUCACCGCUUUGCGAGACGAAAGCGCAUUCCGUCCGAGAGUUCUCGGCUUGAUCUCCAGCCCGGGGACUUCCCUCUGGCUCUUGCUCCAUCGAAGCGAGCAACGCCUCUCGCAAGCUCCCUAUCGAACCUGUGAGCAAACGCGUGCGACAGCAGCGGGCAGAGUGAGUACUCGCCGAGUGGAUCACCCGCACGGAGCCUGUGAUCGCUGGGUACACCACCAGCCCCGGUAGCAGAGGAGCGCAUCGACGGGAGCCUUCCUGUAUCGGUCCAUGGCAUGCGCUGAGCAAUGGGGCAAGCGCUCGUGAACCAGAGCGUCGCCCGUCGGACAAGACGGGGGCCUCGACGGACAUAGCUGCACCUCUGACAGCAGCCCCAAAUCAGAGUUGCAUUGAGCGCACCGGGGCUGUCUCCAGGAAGCAAUGGAAACUGCGAGCGAAGCGCGAAUCACAGCAUUCGCUCGCUCAUGGUCUGCUCCGAUAGCAGCCGGAGGCAUCGAAAUCGGGACUCGCACGCACUGCCAUCAGCAUCCUUCGACUGCUGAAGAGAGGCAUGGUGGGAAAUGAGCGACCGGCGUAUUUGAACCUGGAGAUAAGCGAGAGGCGAAGGAAGCACUCGGAGAUAGAGCCAGCCACGUCCUAUGCUGCCUACUGUGGGAACAGACCAAACCUUUGUCGUGCAUGAACGAGUCAGAGGAUUCGUCCCAAUUCAAUCUGGUACGCAUGCAAACGUUCCGCAAACUCGACGCGACAUGCCUCGAUUCCGUCCCGCGCUCAACGCCGCCUACUAGGCGCGUCAUUCGACCAUGCCGUCCAGAGCGCAAUCCUGUGGCCAGCGCGAGCGUUCUAGAUAUAUUCACUGAGGGUGUCGGUCCGCGCCACUCGUAAACGCCGUUGCGACCCUUGUCCUGGCAGUAUCUCAGCGUUUUGCUGCAAAUACGAACAGCUUGAGACUUUCGACGCCGGAGCAGAACGAACUAGGCGUCCAACAAAGUCGAUCGGUGGUGCCCAGAUCACGGCGAGUUCAGCGCUGCAACAGCUUGCCCGCAAACCAUGCUCGGCGGUUUCGGUGACUUUUUCUUGCUUGUGGGUGUGACCCUAGGAUCCAUCCUGCUUAACCUCUUCUUUCUCAUUCUGUCCCCGGUGAUUGUGCUGUACGUAAAAUACGGGGGCGUUGGGAACCGUCUGAAGCGGCAGAUGCCACUACCACGGGUUCCGCGGUGCGUUUUCAUCACCGGCGCGUCAUCCGGUGUUGGCGAGGCGCUCGCCUACGAGUAUUGCAAGCGAGCGCGCAAGCAACAGGUUCAGGACCUUGUGCUUUAUCUGACUGGUCGAAAUGCGACACGGCUCGACCAGGUGUGUGAACGGUGUCGGGAACUCGGGGCGAGUAAAGUGCAUGCCCUAGUCGUGGACGUUGCCGACGAGGCAGCGAUGCGUGAGGCGAUCACCAAAGCCGACCAAGAACGCCCACUUGAUCUCGUCAUCGCAAACGCCGGUGUAUCCGUGACGAAUACAGGACUCAUGGAGGAAAGCAAGUCAGGCGCUACUGGCUAUGAGAGGUCCAAGAAGCUACUUGACGUGAACAUAUACGGUGCCCUGUACACGAUCUGGCCGGCGCUGGACUGCAUGAUCGCACGUCAGCGCGGAGGCCAAAUCGCGAUUAACGCAAGCAUUGCGUCGUACAUUGCGGGUCCGCUGAAUAUGUCAUACUCUGCGAGCAAAGCCGCAGUUCGAUUCUACGGAGAGUCAUUGCGCACCGCGAUGGCACCAUUGGGCAUCCGAGUGAAUACGAUCCUGCUGGGAUUCGUUGAGUCGCGGAUGACGGAGCCGUUGAAGAAUAGACAUGGCCGUUUGCCCUUCGCCAAAAGCGCUGAAGAAGCGGCUACAUCGCUUGCGAAUCAAAUAGAGCGUGAUGUGGGCGUCAUCGAAUACCCUGCAUGGCCAUUCGGUGUGCUCGGUGAAUGGCUGAAUGCCGCCCCGCCCCUCGUCCGAGAAUGGAUAUGGAGUAUGGUGAUGGGCCGUAUGGUGACGCGCGCGGAACGGAAAUUGAGAAAGCGUCAAGCAGCAGAUGUGAACAUCGCCGACAGCGGAACCUCGACCAAGUACGCGAUCUUGACACGCCUUGUGGAGAAGCUUAUCUAAAUGCACAGAUCAGCAUCCUUGACGUGAGCAGGUCGAGCGACAACAGCGUUUCCGGGAAAGACGUCCACGGCGAUGCGCGAAUUCGGCACUGCGCGACCCGGCGGUGAUCGCUGCCGGACACGUGUCCACGUAUCCGUGGCUUGCGUGCGCGCGAUGCGUGCAUCGGGAGCGCUUCCCGUAUUGUUCGCGACAAGUUUUUCGACAUUGCCAUGCGCAUGGAUACAUGCAUCAUUGCAACUGCGCAUGCCUUCCAUGGAGCGGUUACGAGGCGGGACUUGAUGGACGUCAGAUCAUAGACUACGGUUGCGAGGCUGGAUCGUGGCGAGAGCGCAAGCGCUUGUAAGCGU